rnacentral:lncRNA from 1 species
ACCAGCUGCCUGGGCACCACAGUGAGGGUUAUGGGAUAAUCCAGCUGCCUGGGCACCACAGUGAGGGUUAUGGGAUAAUCCAGCUGCCUGGGCACCACACUGAAGGUAAUGGGAUAAUCCGGCUGCCUGGGCACCACAGUGAGGGUUAUGGGAUAAUCCGGCUGCCUGGGCACCACACUGAAGUUAAUGGGGUAAUCCGGCUG